GCCAGUUUGGCAUAGUGGUGUGAGCAUUGGAUUACAACUCUGGAGACCAAGGUUCGAUUCCUGCUUGGCC